rnacentral:rRNA from 1 species
CGCAUUUGUUAUCAUUAUACCGUGAACUGCGAAUGGCUCAUUAAAUCAGUUAUCGUUUAUUUGAUAAUACCUUACUACUUGGAUAACCGUGGUAAUUCUAGAGCUAAUACAUGCUGAAAAUCCCGACUUCGGAAGGGAUGUGUUUAUUAGAUAAAAAACCAAUGCCCUUCGGGGCUUUUUGGUGAUUCAUGAUAACUUUACGGAUCGCAUAGCCUUGCGCUGGCGACGGUUCAUUCAAAUUUCUGCCCUAUCAACUUUCGAUGGUAAGGUAUUGGCUUACCAUGGUUUCAACGGGUAACGGGGAAUUAGGGUUCGAUUCCGGAGAGGGAGCCUGAGAAACGGCUACCACAUCCAAGGAAGGCAGCAGGCGCGCAAAUUACCCAAUCCCGACACGGGGAGGUAGUGACAAUAAAUACUGAUACAGGGCUCUUUUGGGUCUUGUAAUUGGAAUGAGUACAAUUUAAACCUCUUAACGAGGAACAAUUGGAGGGCAAGUCUGGUGCCAGCAGCCGCGGUAAUUCCAGCUCCAAUAGCGUAUAUUAAAGUUGUUGCAGUUAAAAAGCUCGUAGUUGAAACUUGGGCCUGGCUGGCGGGUCCGCCUCACCGCGUGCACUCGUCCGGCCGGGCCUUCCUUCUGAAGAACCUCAUGCCCUUCACUGGGCGUGCUGGGGAAUCAGGACUUUUACUUUGAAAAAAUUAGAGUGUUCAAAGCAGGCCUUUGCUCGAAUACGUUAGCAUGGAAUAAUAAAAUAGGGCGUGCGUUUCUAUUUUGUUGGUUUCUAGAGACGCCGCAAUGAUUAACAGGAACAGUCGGGGGCAUCAGUAUUCAGUUGUCAGAGGUGAAAUUCUUGGAUUUACUGAAGACUAACUACUGCGAAAGCAUUUGCCAAGGAUGUUUUCAUUAAUCAGUGAACGAAAGUUAGGGGAUCGAAGACGAUCAGAUACCGUCGUAGUCUUAACCGAAACUAUGCCGACUAGGGAUCGGGCGAUGUUCUUUUUCUGACUCCCUCCGCACCUUACGAAAAAUCCAAAGUUUUGGGUCCUGGGGGGAUAUGGUCCCAAG